rnacentral:lncRNA from 1 species
UUUCCAGGAAGGCCUAGCUCAGCUCACCUCCAGAAAGGUCUCCAAGCUGUGUGAUCCGGGGAAUCUUGGAGGGGUUUUGAGCUCAGGUGUCUUCUGCCAGCUGGACUUUGAGACCCUGGCCUGCUGGGGCGAGGAUGAGGCUCUGAUGUGGUCUGGUCAACUCUGGGUUGGCCGUCUGCACCACAGGGCUCUAACAAGGGCCUGCCGUAGGCCGUGAGAACCACUGUGUCAAGGAGCCCAUCUCCAUUUUAGAAAGACACAGAUGCGUUCUGGGCCGUUGCCCAGGAAGGAACGUCUACCAGGACAGUUCUGAGAAGGCUCAGCAUCAUAUCUAAACACAGGAAAGGAAUUCCCUCUUGGAAAAUUCAGGAUGACAACUGUGGGUAGCAAGCCAAGGCAAAGGGCAGAAUGCGGAGCAGCAUUUGAGGUUCCAACCAAUUCCAGCCUGUCUGCAGGCACUGCCUGCCUCCACGGCUGUCAGGUGUCCCCACCAGGAGCUACAUAGGGCGAAGCUAGGCAGGCUUUCAGUGCCAGCUGUGGUUUCCCCAACAGCCCACAGGCCAGAGGCCCCGCCCAGGCCACCUCCUCCAGUCGCCCUGCGGCCGGGUGGUCUUCAGUGGUCUCACUCUCCCUCCCACUGCAUUUCCAUCUCUGCUGUAAUAUAUCACCUCAGCCCUUCCUUUUUGAUUCUCAAGAGCAAAUUUUGGAAAUAAAGCAACCUGAAAACAU